CCUACGGGUGGCUGCAGUAGGGAAUAUUGCUCAAUGGGGGAAACCCUGAAGCAGCAACGCCGCGUGGAGGAUGAAGGCUUUCGGAUUGUAAACUUCUUUUGUUAGAGAAGAUAAUGACGGUAUCUAACGAAUAAGCACUGGCUAACUACGUGCCAGCAGCCGCGGUCAUACGGAGGGUGCAAGGGUUACUCGGAAUCACUGGGCGUAAAGGGCGCGUAGGCGGGUUAGCAAGUCAGAUGUGAAAUCCUAGGGCUUAACCAUAGAACUACAUUUGAAACUGGUAUUCUAGAGUAUGGGAGAGGUAGGUAGAAUUCUUGGUGUAGGGGUAAAAUCCGUAGAGAUCAAGAGGAAUACUGAUUGCGAAGGCAACCUGCUAGAACAUAACUGACGCUGAUGCGCGAAAGCGUGGGGAGCAAACAGGAUUAGAUACCCGAGUAGUC
rnacentral:rRNA from 1 species